rnacentral:rRNA from 1 species
CCUACGGGGGGGCAGCAGUGGGGAAUAUUGGACAAUGGGCGAAAGCCUGAUCCAGCCAUGCCGCGUGUGUGAAGAAGGCCUUCGGGUUGUAAAGCACUUUCAGUGGGGAAGAAAGCCUUGGGGCUAAUACCCUCGAGGAAGGACAUCACCCACAGAAGAAGCACCGGCUAACUCCGUGCCAGCAGCCGCGGUAAUACGGAGGGUGCGAGCGUUAAUCGGAAUUACUGGGCGUAAAGCGCGCGUAGGCGGUCUGAUAAGCCGGUUGUGAAAGCCCCGGGCUCAACCUGGGAACGGCAUCCGGAACUGUCAGGCUAGAGUGCAGGAGAGGAAGGUAGAAUUCCCGGUGUAGCGGUGAAAUGCGUAGAGAUCGGGAGGAAUACCAGUGGCGAAGGCGGCCUUCUGGACUGACACUGACGCUGAGGUGCGAAAGCGUGGGUAGCAAACAGGAUUAGAUACCCCUGUAGUC